rnacentral:rRNA from 1 species
GAACCGUGCGAACGUUGUUCGGAUUCACUGGGCUUAAAGGGCGCGUAGGCGGGCGACCAAGUCGGGGGUGAAAUCUUUCAGCUUAACUGGAAAAUAGCCUCCGAUACUGGUCGUCUGGAGGAAGGUAGGGGCAUGCGGAACUUCCGGUGGAGCGGUGAAAUGCGUAGAUAUCGGAAGGAACGCCGGUGGCGAAAGCGGCGUGCUGGACCUUUUCUGACGCUGAGGCGCGAAAGCCAGGGGAGCAAACGGGAUUAGAUACCCCGGUAGUCCUGGCCCUAAACGAUGGGUACUAGAUUGUAGGCUUGACAUGGGCUUACAGUCGAAGCAAAAGUCUUAAGUACCCCGCCUGGGGAGUAUGGUCGCAAGGCUGAA